CAGUCGCCGCGGGAAUACGAAGGGGGCUAGCGUUGCUCGGAAUGACUGGGCGUAAAGGGCGCGUAGGCGGCAUACACAGUCAGGCGUGAAAUUCCUGGGCUCAACCUGGGGGCUGCGUUUGAUACGUGUAGGCUAGCGUGGGGAAGAGGGUUGUGGAAUUCCCAGUGUAGAGGUGAAAUUCGUAGAUAUUGGGAAGAACACCGGUGGCGAAGGCGGCAACCUGGUCCUUGACUGACGCUGAGGCGCGAAAGCGUGGGGAGCAAACAGGAUUAGAUACCCCUGUAGUCCCUGUCUCUUAUAC
rnacentral:rRNA from 1 species